GUGCUUGCAUUGGCAGCACAUGUGCUUAAAACAAUUGGAACGGUACAGAGAAUAUUCACAUGGCCCCCCUGUGAGGAUGACAUGCAAAUUCAUGAAGCAUUUCAUUUUUUU
ensembl:snRNA U6 U6 spliceosomal RNA